rnacentral:rRNA from 1 species
GAGGAAUAUUGGUCAAUGGACGGAAGUCUGAACCAGCCAAGUAGCGUGCAGGAUGACGGCCCUCCGGGUUGUAAACUGCUUUAGUUCGGGAAUAACGACGGGGACGUGUCCCUGGAAAGAAUGUACCGAAAGAAUAAGGACCGGCUAAUUCCGUGCCAGCAGCCGCGGUAAUACGGAAGGUCCGGGCGUUAUCCGGAUUUAUUGGGUUUAAAGGGAGCGUAGGCGGACUGUUAAGUCAGCGGUUAAAGAGUGUGGCUCAACCAUACGAUGCCGUUGAAACUGGUGGUCUUGAGUGCACACAGGGAUGCUGGAACUCGUGGUGUAGCGGUGAAAUGCUUAGAUAUCACGAUGAACUCCGAUCGCGAAGGCAGGUGUCCGGGGUGUAACUGACGCUGAGGCUCGAAAGUGUGGGUAUCAAACAGGAUUAGAUACCCUGGUAGUCCACACAGUAAACGAUGAAUACUCGCAGUUUGCGAUAUACUGUAAGCUGCCAAGCGAAAGCAUUAAGUAUUCCACCUGGGGAGUACGCCGGCAACGGUG